GUGCUGUAUAAUGAGGAUAAAUGUAUCUGUCUCAGUAAGAGCAGCACAUGUACUAAAAUUGGAAGGAGAAGAGAAGAUUAGCCUGGCCCCUGCAUGAGAAUGGCAUGCAAAUUCCUGAAGUGUUCCAUAUUUGU
ensembl:snRNA U6 U6 spliceosomal RNA